ACUCCUACGGGAGGCAGCGGUGAGGAAUAUUGGUCAAUGGGCGCAAGCCUGAACCAGCCAUGCCGCGUGCAGGAUGACGGUCCUAUGGAUUGUAAACUGCUUUUGCACAGGAAGAAACACUCCCUCGUGAGGGAGCUUGACGGUACUGUGAGAAUAAGGAUCGGCUAACUCCGUGCCAGCAGCCGCGGUAAUAC
rnacentral:rRNA from 1 species